rnacentral:rRNA from 1 species
GACGAACGCUGGCGGCAUGCCUAACACAUGCAAGUCUAGGGGUAGCAAUACCACUGGCGCACGGGUGAGUAACACGUAAGUUAUCUGCCCCCAUCACAGACAUAACCCCGGGAAACCGGGGCUAAUAUCUGAUGAGGUCGCGAGAUCAAAGCUUCGGCGGAUGGGGAUGAGCCUGCGGCUGAUUAGCUAGUUGGUGAGGUAAUGGCUCACCAAGGCGACGAUCAGUAGCUGGUCUGAGAGGACGAACAGCCACACUGGAACUGAGACACGGUCCAGACUCCUACGGGAGGCAGCAGUGAGGAAUAUUGGUCAAUGGGAGCAAUCCUGAACCAGCAAUGCCGCGUGUGGGAUGACAGGGCUUCGCCUUGUAAACCACUGUCGGACGGGACGAAAGGAGGCCUCGGGCCUCUGGGACGGUACCGUCAAAGGAAGGGUCGGCUAACUACGUG